CACGUAGGGGGCGAGCGUUGUCCGGAUUCAUUGGGCGUAAAGAGCUCGUAGGCGGCUCAGUAAGUCGGGUGUGAAACCCUCAGGCUCAACCUGGGGACGCCACUCGAUACUGCUGUGGCUAGAGUCCGAGUAGGGGAGUGUGGAAUUCCCGGUGUAGCGGUGAAAUACGCAGAUAUCGGGAGGAACACCAGCGGCGAAGGCGGCACUCUGGGCUGGUACUGACGCUGAGGAGCGAAAGCGUGGGUAGCAAACAGG
rnacentral:rRNA from 1 species